GACGAACGCUGGCGGCGUGCUUAACACAUGCAAGUCGAACGAUGAACUUGGAGCUUGCUCUGGGGGAUUAGUGGCGAACGGGUGAGUAACACGUGAGUAACCUGCCCUGGACUCUGGGAUAACUUCGAGAAAUCGGAGCUAAUACCGGAUAGGACCUUGCACCGCAUGGUGUGGGGUGGAAAGUUUGUCGGGUUGGGAUGGACUCGCGGCCUAUCAGCUGGUUGGUGAGGUAAUGGCUCACCAAGGCGUCGACGGGUAGCCGGCCUGAGAGGGUGACCGGCCACACUGGGACUGAGACACGGCCCAGACUCCUACGGGAGGGAGCAGUGGGGAAUAUUGCACAAUGGGCGCAAGCCUGAUGCAGCAACGCCGCGUGCGGGAUGACGGCCUUCGGGUUGUAAACCGCUUUUAGUAGGGAAGAAGCCUUCGGGUGACGGUACCUGCAGAAAAAGGACCGGCUAACUACGUGCCAGCCGCCGCCGUAACAC
rnacentral:rRNA from 1 species